rnacentral:tRNA from 1 species
GGACGCUUGGCGCAGUGGUAGCGCGUUCGACUCCAAAUCGAAAGGUUAGGUGUUCGAUCCGCUCAGUGGUCA